AAAAUCAAUUACGGCUCGCUUUUUUUCAAGUUAAAAAUAAAUAAACACUAAUCAAAAGUUUACAAAGAUUUUACCAAAAUGAUUUGAAAGGUACAUACCUACCUAUCCGUAAUAUGAGGAUUUACAAGAGGAAGGACGGGAGUCAUGAUUAUUGUUCCAUUCAGAAACUCAGUUGUCAGCGGCCCUUCAAUGGUACUAUGACUUUGCUAAAAGCAUCUAAAAAGUUUAAAAUUCCAUAUGGAACAUUGCACAACAGAAUGAAAGGUAAACAUGGAAAAAAAGUUGGACAUCCAGUUGCACUUUUUUCUAAUUGUGAGAAUCACCUUUUGAAGGCAAUAAACGUUCUUUGUAAUUGGAAAAUGCCUGUUGAUGGAUUAGAUAUUCGUUUAAUGGUCAAACAUUAUCUGGAUCACUCUGGUGUUAAAAACAGAUAGUUUAACAACAAUUUACCAGGGAUCAAUUGGAUGCUAAAUUUUAUCAAACGCCAUAAGCUGGCAACACGCAUUGCUGACAAUGUAAAACCUUCAUGCGCAGAGGUUUGAGAACUAACUGUGAAUGCUUACUCCGAUGAAUUAGUGAAAAUAUUAGAAGGCGUUGAACCCUGUAAAAUUUAUAACUAUGACGAGACUAAUCUUUCGGAUGACCCUGGCGCAAAAUCGAUCAUAUGCAGACGAGGACUUAAAAGAGUCGAACGUAAAAUGCAACACUCAAAGAGUUGUUGUCUUUUUUUGUUGUCACAUUUUCCUGGGUUAUUGUUGAAGUUGAAUCAAAGAUUAAAAGAACAAAACCUGAUUUCUGGCUUUUCGGCUUGCAGAAUAUCUCCAGUUAACAGAGAGGAAGUCAAGAAAAGACUGCCAAAUGAGAAUCGAGAUGUUGGUGGUGAAAAGAUUUAAGAAAUCUUUGGUACGAUUGCUCAGGAAAUGCUAAAAGAUCA